UAUUGAUUACAGGGUGGUGUUUAUCUGUAUAAAGGGAAGCCGUUUUUUUUUUUGUUGGAUCAUUCCUCCCGAGCUUCUGGUGCGACACAGCAGUAAAUGCUGGGCUAUUGGUUAAUUUACCGAUACGAUCGGAUCGUGUGAUUGCUACAGCGCGGCUGUUUCUCUAUUCUUUACUCCAGAGACGCGUUUGAGUUGCGUCCACCGUGCAGUAUAGCGCCUCCAGUCUUGGGGGUUUGAUUGCUGCCGCACCCUCUCAGGGACCAACUGCCUGAUUUUAAGCGAAGAGUCGAGACGCCUGCCUACCUGCUGUCUUGUCUUGCCUUGUUUUAUCUUGUGUUCCGAUCUGUUGGCUGUCCAGUUUUGUUCUAGCUGCUUUGCCUCGCCUCGCCCCUGGGGGCUUUGGGUCUCACUCUAAGCCCCUUUUGGACUAUCGUUUCACUCCAGCUUUCGCGGCUGGUCGGGGCCAUCCUCAGCUGCAUAUUGGGCUGGUGCUACAAAACUGGUACUACCUCUCCCUUUUCUCCCAGUUGUGGAGAACUGCGCGAGACUGAGUGGGGCUACGGACAAUCGGAACCAGCACCAGCUGUGGGCUGGCUCGCAGAGUACAAGUAUUUCCAAUCUGUGCUCUGUGGUGUGUAUGUGGGUGUGUUUUAUUGCAGAUCUCCGUUUUUCUUUUAAUUUCUUUUUUUAGUAUAUAGAGAGCCUGUUUAUGUCCCAUGUUUUUAUCCUUUUAAUGUGUAUGUCUUGUGCUUUUAUUUCAGCGGACUGAGGAUCUACCAGCGGCCGUGGGACCUUAGGUGGCGGGUCGUUUUCCACACUUCUUUUUGUUGUACAGCACCAGGAGGACAGUGGAGCACAGGAGAACAGCGAGCACAGGGAGUGCAGAGACACAGGAGUGGAGAGCACGAGCACAGACGUUCUGGGUGAAGACACGACACAGGAGUUGAGGGAGCUCCCGGGUAUUAAUUGUGUUGUUGUUAUUUACUCCACUGUAAAUAAAGCGCACUGUUCAUUGCAAGAGUCCUGCGUUUGGGUCCUCCCUCCCCACUUCCCCACGGUCUGCCACAAGAGUAAUAUUAAAGCUCAGUAAAUGCUGACCCCAGCAAACAGACACCUGUUCAUGUUUCUAAAGUAGAAUCAUUGUGGCGAUUACUUUAAAGUCUUUUGUGCAGGUUUCCUUCUUUGAUUUGUGUUUUCAGCUUUGUGUUCAGAA